rnacentral:rRNA from 1 species
CCCUUAGAUGUCCUGGGCCGCACGCGCGCUACACUGACGGAGCCAGCGAGCUUUUCCUUAACCGAGAGGUUUGGGUAAUCUUGUGAAACUCCGUCGUGCUGGGGAUAGAGCAUUGUAAUUAUUGCUCUUCAACGAGGAAUUCCUAGUAAGCGCAAGUCAUCAGCUUGCGUUGAUUACGUCCCUGCCCUUUGUACACACCGCCCGUCGCUAGUACCGAUUGAAUGGCUUAGUGAGGCUUCAGGAUUUGCUUAGAUCGAGGGGCAACUCUCUUUCAGAGCGGAGAAUCUAGUCAAACUUGGUCAUUUAGAGGAACUAAAAGUCGUAACA